rnacentral:rRNA from 1 species
AGACCCGAAACCCGGUGAUCUAGCCAUGGGCAGGUUGAAGGUUGGGUAACACUAACUGGAGGACCGAACCGACUAAUGUUGAAAAAUUAGCGGAUGACCUGUGGCUGGGGGUGAAAGGCCAAUCAAACCGGGAGAUAGCUGGUUCUCCCCGAAAGCUAUUUAGGUAGCGCCUCGUGAAUUCAUCUCCGGGGGUAGAGCACUGUUUCGGCUAGGGGGCCAUCCCGGCUUACCAACCCGAUGCAAACUGCGAAUACCGGAGAAUGUUAUCACGGGAGACACACGGCGGGUGCUAACGUCCGUCGUGAAGAGGGAAACAACCCAGACCGCCAGCUAAGGUCCCAAAGUCAUGGUUAAGUGGGAAACGAUGUGGGAAGGCCCAGACAGCCAGGAUGUUGGCUUAGAAGCAGCCAUCAUUUAAAGAAAGCGUAAUAGCUCACUGGUCGAGUCGGCCUGCGCGGAAGAUGUAACGGGGCUAAACCAUGCACCGAAGCUGCGGCAGCGACGCUGAUGCGUUGUUGGGUAGGGGAGCGUUCUGUAAGCCUGCGAAGGUGGCCUGUGAGGGUUGCUGGAGGUAUCAGAAGUGCGAAUGCUGACAUAAGUAACGAUAAAGCGGGUGAAAAGCCCGCUCGCCGGAAGACCAAGGGUUCCUGUCCAACGUUAAUCGGGGCAGGGUGAGUCGACCCCUAAGGCGAGGCCGAAAGGCGUAGUCGAUGGGAAACGGGUUAAUAUUCCCGUACUUGGUGUUACUGCGAAGGGGGGACGGAGAAGGCUAUGUUGGCCGGGCGACGGUUGUCCCGGUUUAAGCGUGUAGGUGUGUGUUCCAGGUAAAUCCGGUUCACUUUAACACUGAGGCGUGACGACGAGGCACUACGGUGCUGAAGCAACAAAUGCCCUGCUUCCAGGAAAAGCCUCUAAGCAUCAGGUAACACGAAAUCGUACCCCAAACCGACACAGGUGGUCAGGUAGAGAAUACCAAGGCGCUUGAGAGAACUCGGGUGAAGGAACUAGGCAAAAUGGUGCCGUAACUUCGGGAGAAGGCACGCUGACACGUAGGUGAAGUGAUUUACUCA